rnacentral:lncRNA from 1 species
GUAUUUUGGGCGACCGGCUAAUAUAUGAGACCGGCUAUUGUACUCUUAUAAAUAUGAUUUCUCAUACUCAUAAGUCAUUUUUGAUUACAGCGCAUAUGAAUCGACGAUUCAUACCAUUAAAUAUUAUCUAGAGCAUUUGAAACUUUUAAGAACAAAAUUCAAUAAUUUUUCAACAUUGUUUACUUUAUAAUCAUCGAAGUUGAUAAAUUUUAACGACUGAUAUGUAAUAGUUGCUAGUUUAACCGUGUAAAAGAAUCGAAAUUGGGUGAAAUUUUGAUAAAAAAUUCUAUUCACUAUUUAGAUAAAAAUCAAUUACUCCGAAGUUAAAUUAAAGAAUUUGAUUCUAUAAUUUUAGAAGGUCGUUUGAUUUUGACCGUUUAUUUUAUGUCCGCUUGAUGGACUUUAUAAUAAUUUCAAAAAAUUAUGAAAUUUGAUUUCUAGAAGUUUUAAAUACUCUAGAUCAUGUUUAACAGUAUGGAUUAUUGAUUUGAAAGCUUUAUCAUCAAAAACUCUUAUGAGUAUAAAUGACUCUAUACUUAUAAGAGUAUAGUAGCCCUACUCUCUUCUUUAUAAAGAGAGAUGGGCUAGAAUGCUUCUAAUAGCACAAGUCAUUGGUGCUCAUAGUUUUUUGGCCUUUGGAAGAAGAUUUGCAAGGUUAGUAUGAUAGUGAUCCUUUAACAGUUUAGUGGGUGAUGGGUAGAAUAGUAUGAUCUAAGAGGUGGAAUUAAUUGGCCAAAGGGGUAGAUGUAAUUUUGAAAAACUUGAUAGCAUCAAAUACUUGAUACUAUUAGAAGUACCAUAGUCGGACCCUAUAUGUAGAGUUUGGCUCCCCUUUGUACUCAUAAAUUUUCGACCAUUAGAUAUAUCCUUUUGAUCAUUUUCACUUAUUAAAUCAUACCAUUCAACCAACCACCCAUUCAAUCGGAGAGAACCACUACCAUCCUAACCGCACGUCCCCUAACCGCACAUCCCUUCCUCCAACGGCCGAAAACGUAUGAGCACAAAUGGAUCUACACUCAUAAGAGUAUAGUAGCUCUACUCUCUCUCUUUUUCUCUCUCUAUAUAUAUUUUAAAUAAAAUAAGUGAAUACUUGUUUUAUUUUAUCUAUCUCUAGAAUUCUAAUCUUAAUUUUUCUCGGUGUUGUUUUAUAACUUUAUAUUAUUUACCGUAUAUUGCAAUAUUUUAAUGUAUAUGUUGUGAAAUUUUAAAUAGUAUAUUAUCUUAUGAUUUUUUAAAAAGUGUUAUAUAUGUAUUUUGUGUUUGAAAAGUUAAGGGGGAAAAAAAGGCAUACUUUGCUGAUAACUUGAAUACCUACCACGUACUCCGCCUAUGGACGGGUAUAAGUAAGAAUGUUAGGUAGCCUAAAAUUUACAAAUAAAUUUUAUCUAUACGAGCAAUGCUUCAAUACACCAUAAGUAUUAAAAUCAAAUUCUUAAUUAGUAAAGGGUAUAAUUAUAUUUUACAUAAAGUAACCUAUUAAACAUGUUACCGAUUUUAAUUAGUUAAUAUGACAAUAUUGAAAAAAAAUUAGUAAUAUAUACCAAAUUUGUUAGCAUCAUAUAAUAUUUAGUAUCUUAUUUAGUUUUGUUACUUACCAAAUUAGAUAAUACCCAAUUUGUUAUCCAACUCAAAAGAAUAUUGAAUUUAAAUUUAAGUUUUGAAGUUGGUACUUAAAUGUAAAAUUUUAAUUUCAAAAUUUAUAUUAAACUUUUAAAUUUUGAAUCUAUAUUGCAUUUUUAAUCUGAAAGCCAAAUUUUAAUUUUUGAUUUAAAUUAAAAUUUUGAAUUUGAACUGAAAGUUUUAUUUAAAAUUUAUUUUUUAUAUUUAAAAGUUGAAUUUGAUUUAUAAUUAAGUUUUUUAUGUUGAUUUGUAUUUAAAUUUACAGUUUAGUUGUAAUUUAAAGUCCAACUAUUGUUGUAGGUAUUUGAGAAGGUUAUAGUAUUUUUAGUUGGAUAAAACUAGUUUUGUACACCAAAAUAUUUUUCUAAGACCAAAAUAUUCUUUAAAUAGGUACCUGGUGAAUGGUAUCUAUGCCAGAAUAGUAGGCCGCCUUUAUAAUCAUAUUACAUCUCAACCAUCUAUUUAAAAAAAUAAAUGGUCAAGAUUUAUAUAGUGUAUUGAAGUAUUAUUCAUACCGAAAUGAUCCGUUGAAUAAUGACCGGUCCGCAGAUCACCCAACAUGCCCGUUUGCUGGAUCUAGCGACAAUAAUCAUAAGACUAUUAUAUUUAGGUCGAAAGAAAUGUAAAGAUAUAGACUUAUGUUCUAAUUUCUUCACAUAUAAGAUAUAUAUUUCUCUCCGUCUCUCAUUCUCUCCGUACGUGGAUGUUGGGAAGUUGCCGAACCCCAUAAACACAUGUCUCUUCUUUGUGUUUUCUUUUUAUUUAUUUAUCAUUAGUUUUUUGUUUGUGUGUUUUAUUAAUAACACAUGCAGGACUAUUCUAGCCCGAACAAAUACUAAUUGACUUAAAUCCUACCGAAAACUCGGAGCAAUUAGAGAGUAAUAUUUUAAUAAUUUGUAUUCAAAACCUUUUUUUGCUAAUAAUUUCAUUCAAAUGCUCAAGGAGACCGAAGACUACGGGGAAAUAUAAUUUCUUAAAGUUGAGUGGUGCAAGCUAAGAAAAAAUGUGUCUCCUCAAAAGCGUAGUGUAAUGUUUGAUCUAUUCUCCUCACCAAAAGGACAAAGCGCUUUGUCGUACCAUAAAAUUCUAAAAAAAGUAUGAAUGAACAUUAACAUGUGACGCAUCAUGCAUGGGCUUAGAAAACAUUAAUUUCUUGCAUUGACUUAAAAAAUAAUUAGCACGGUAAAUUUCAAGCCACCUAAUUGCGUUACGAAAUCUAAUUAGGUCAAAGAUCACGACAUUUAAGAGGAGGUUGUACGCCAUUUUCUAAUAUCUAAUUAUGUCAUAUGUAGACUCCAUUAUCUUACUAAAUUGAACAAUUAAUUGGAAUAGUUGAGAAUGCCUAAUUAAUUAAAGGCAUUUUAUGGGCUUAAUUUGCGCAGCAGCUUCUAGGCGGGUGGGACUUUUUUUCUUUUUUUUUUUUACAACAGGUUCUCAGUUUAAGUCACGGUAGGCAGCUAACAUUAUUAAUUUCUUCACAUUUAAUUCAAGUCCACUUACAAAAAAAAGUUGAAAAUGAGUGUUAAAUAUAAAAAUAUAUAAACAUUGUUUUCUAAUAAAUAUUUUUUUUAGGAGAAAGAUAGUAUGCUAUCCGCUUCGUUUAUUUCAUUUAGAAAUAAACUUAGCUGGAAAUGUGAAUCAACUAGGAUUUGAACUUGGGUCUCCCUUUUAUAACUUACACUAGGAACAAUCGAUCGUUUUCUUAUAAUUUAAACUUUUAAAGUACAACUGUUAUUUUACACUAGUGUGCUUGGCGAAAAUCUUAACAUGAAUAUUUAUAUAUAUUCAUCAUGAAUUUUUUUACAAAUGUUAGUAAGUUAUUAGAUUAACUUUUUUUAUUAGAAACUAUUUUUAUUUGAUUAAUUUUUCUUAUAUAUAAUACAGUAGUAGAAUUAUUUCGGAGCUCAAUCAAAAGAUAUUGCUUCUAAUAUUUAAUGAAUUAAAAUGCCAAUCUGACUUUUUUUGUUUACACUAAACUUCUAAUAUGGACCAAUUAUUUUUCUUUUUUUUUUCAUAAUAAAUGAAACGGGAGGGUUCGACCCAAUAAACAAGAUGAUAAACAGUGCACAUGUGCACAUGCAAUAUUACUCGCACAAUUAUUUGCCUUCAAUUUUUGUAAUAUCAGAAGCCAUUUAAUAAAGAAUAAUUAUGUAUUAAUUACAAUCUCAAUAAUUCAAACACAACCAAACAUAUAAUAAUAAACAAGAUUAGCCAGGUGUAUAUAGAACUACAAGUCAAUCUCAUAUCUCAAGCACGAACAUAUAAAGAUAAUUUUUUUUUAAGGAAAAAAAGAGAGAAAAAAAAACUCGAUCUACGAAAUGGAUGAGGAUAGCAGUUCCUUUAUGCGAGCAUCGUACGGAGCGGCGGCGGCGGCGGUCAAUCGCGCCUUCCUCUUCUGAAGGAACCGCUGCAGCGACCGCUUCAUCGUGAGCCCCGAGUUCAGGAGCUGCGGCGGAGGAUUCACAUUGCUACCAUGCGGAGAGAUCGAAUGCGGAGUUCGCGACGGGGCCUUCGUGUUGCAUGAGUUCUCUACCACUUGCCUAUGCUUGUAACGGUUGUUGGUGUCAAUGCUCGUGUGUUUUCCAUUUUUGUUUGCUGUGUUUCCCAUCGCUUGGUUGGCCAUAGUUAUGAUGGCUCUUGCCUGUUGUAUACAAGAUGUAAUGCAAAACUAUUAAUAUGAGGAGAAUACAAAAAAAAAAAAAAAGGAAAAUGGUAAAUGAAAUUACUUAUUACUAGACUCUGAACAUGUAAAAAUAAUGUAAAACAACAUUAAUUCCCUCAUGUAAUGCGUACAAUCAAAUAAUAAAAGAUGGAAUACGUGCAUGGAAUAAUAAAAUUCAGUAUUCGAACUCAAAAAUUCGUGCUAUGAUAUUAUAUAUACGAAAGAGUGGUGUUUAAAUAUUUCAUAUUCAACACUAAAGAUUAUAAAAAUAAAGGCAUGUGGCUCUCAUAGAUGGGAUCAUCUACUGCUUGAUCUAUAUUAAAAGGCUCAGUUCCAAUCCAAAAGUUUAGGCUAGUAAAUUUGAAAAAAUUCCUCAUAUUAUACAGAAAUAACCAGGAUAUAUAUAUACUAGCUAGUAAUUUAUAUUUGGUUUGAGAUUUAUAUUCUUAAAUUGCUGGUAAUUAAAAUCAGAUAUGAUUCACGACAUUUCAAACGCAGAUGGUCAAAUAAAAUAUGUGCAGCAGUUUACUGGUCACAGAUCUGUGUUCAACCUUUGUUAGUGGAAGUCAAAAAUCAAUUAGUUUUUUCUAAAGAGAGAAAUUGUGCGAAAGCUUAUUGGGAGUAGGUAUGUAAUUAAUUAAGGACUUUGACCGGGCAACUGCUGUUUAUAUUUUCCAACUUUAUGUUAAUUCUUUGACUUUGUGUGCUUGUAUGAUUCCAUGUUGUCGGCAUAUUCAAGGCACAAAUCAAAUGCAACCUCCCCAUUUAUGUACAUAUUUGGUGCCUAGCUGUAAAGUGUGACUAAAUUAUUAAUAAAAGUAGGGUUUUGUCAGCGUAAAUUAAACCCCACUAAGUUUGAAUCAAACAUAAAAAAAUAUUAACAUUUUUUUUUAUUUAUUUUGCUCGAUCCUAUACGUAGGUAUAUAUCAUGCUAAACAAUCGAUCGUUUAUUUGCAAAAAUUUUAGCUGUUAGAUUAGAACGGGGUUAUAAUAGUUCGUUUCUAUUUAACAAAUAAAUGAUCUGAGAUUGGAUUCAUCGUUCCAAGGUUAAUAUAGGAUAAAGUGGAAAUUGAGGAAGGUGAAGAACAAGCCCAUAUAAAAUUUGAUGCAAGAACUAAACUAUUAGGAGAGUAUACAAAGUACAGGUGCACGAAGCUAAGCGCUCGAUUCUUAAUAAAGCAGGAAAAAGAAAAGAAAAUUAAAGGUUGUGAAUCGAUGGAGAUAGAUAAUAUAUACAUAUUGCAAGUUCUUAAAAACAGUAGAAAAAUCUGGAUAUGGAACCAAACAAACCUGAAUCUCUGUGAUGUCGCAGACGCAAAUCUGCCCCUUGUAGAAGAUUGUAAUCUGCUUAUUCUGCUGCUGCUGCUGCUUCUCUUGGCACUUCUCUUUUAUUUCAAAACAUCUCGCAUCCCUACAAGAACAUCAAUUAUAGUAUCAUCAUCAAAUAAUCUAUAUAUCUAUAUAAAAAAAUUAGAAAGAUGUAAACAACAUGCAUGACCUUAAAGAGAUCAGAAUCUAUGAGAAUAUAAUCAAUCACAUACACAUACCUGCAAACUUUGGCAGAGUCGACGUCGCCGGAUGGUCGAUCGUCGCCGAUACCAAGUCGGAGGCAGAGCUCCGGUUCGCCGAUGACCAUCUUUUUUUUAAAAUUUUUGUUAUUCUUUAAUUCUCUCCUUCUAUUAUAUAUACUAUGAAUCAAUCUCUCGCUUCUUUCUUAUAUAUAUAUAUAUGUAUGAUGUUGUUCGAGAAAGCUUAGUGUUUAAUAUUUGGUAUGCAGGAGAUAUAUAUUCAUGCUUUUAUUAGUAUAUAUAUAUAUACGCGCUUUGUUCCCAACCCCAAAGAGAGAAAACGCACGUGGAGCAUGAAUUCCACGUGCAUGUAUACCUAUGACUUUAGACUAGUUGGCCAAUAAGGAUGCAUUUAUGGUGGGAGAUGAGACACGUUUCUAUUCUUUUUGGUACUUUUUAUUAUUAUUUUAUUAUUAUUAUUAUUAUUAUUUUUACUUUUAUUUUUGCAAAUUUGUGUUGUGUUGGAAAUUUGGGUCAAAUUUUCGUACUCACGUUUUCGUUUCUGGGGGGUCGGAUAUCGUGCGUACAACUAAACGGGUCGAGAUUUUAAUUUAGGCGCAACGAAAUUCUAAUAAGAUUUUUAGAAAACGAAAUGUUACUUACUUGUUGAACUUUUAAUUAGGUGUAAAUAUAGUCGUACCAUCUUUUGAUUUCUUUGUCUUAAAAAUAAAUAUAUAUAGUAACGCUCAUGUGAAAAAAUUAGUUUUUAGUGGAAAAUAAUGUAAAGAAAUAAAUGUGAGACUUAUAUUUUUUUGUCACGUCGGCUCAAUGAUUCACUUAAUUAAUUCCUUUAUGCAUUCAAUUGAAAAAUUACUAAGAAACUACUGAAAUAAAAUAUUAAACUAUUAGUUUCUAAUAAUUUAUGCUUGUAAAAUUAAAUAGUUAUUUCACAUGGUAAUCAGAACAGAAAAUUAGAAAUUAAGCUAAAUAAUAAUUUUGAAAUUAAGUCAACAAAAUCAUUAAUCUUCUUCUAUUUUUUUGGGAUAAACUUCAAUUACCAUCCCUAUGAUUUUGCACUUUCUCAUUUUAGUAACCCUUUGGUUUAAAGUGUAUCAAGUUAGUAUCAUGUGGUUUUAUUUUUAUUUUUUCGUCAGCUUUUCCAUUAAUAUUUCGUUAAAUUAUAUACAAAAAAAACUUUAGAUACCUUACCUAGCUAGAUUUAUCCAAUAUUCACUUUAAUACUUUUUAGUUUUAACUUUGUUACUGAUUGAAUAAAAAAAAUUAAUAAAAUCGAUAAUAAAAAAGAAAAAAAUAAAACCACAUGACAUGCACUAAAUUGAUACACUUUAAAUCACAUGAUGCUAAAGUAAGAAAGUGUGAAACCACGGGAUGAUAUUUUAAGUUUUUUUUUUUUUUCUUAUUCCACGGAGGCUACAUAAUGGGAGAAAUUAAAGGCACGUGCCCAUUGACUCCUAAUAUUAAUUCUUCGACAAGGAAAGGAGUAAGAAAUUUGGCUUUUCUUAUGCAUAAAAAAAGCACGUUUUUUUUUUUUAAAAAAAAUCCUCAUAAAUUCAAGCAGGUCGAAUCUAACUUUGAUUUCCAGUGAAUUAAUUGUACGUUCGUACUAGUAAUCUAGCCACAAAUAUGGGACGGUUUAAAAGUCAAAUAAUUCAAUUUUGGAGCUCGUGCUUCGCCCCUUUUUGAUUUUUGUUGCCUCAACAAACGAGGAACUUUUAGACCACCGUGACAGUUACUGCAAAAUAAAUAAAAAACAUAAUUAAAGUGGUUCAAAUUGGAGUUUUACUUCAAAGUUGGUGGACCUAAAUCACGUGCUUGGUAGGUUUGGGUUCCAGCGAGAAUAAUUCAAAGAUCAAAUGGGAUUUGUGACACGUUGAGCCCCUAAUACGUAUGGUCGCUAAAGUGUGAAGUAAUAAUUGUCAUUAAUUUACGAAUCAAUAUGUUAUGCACUGUAAAAAAAUUUAGGAAAACUUUAAAUAUUAUCUCUAUAGUUUCGCAAUUUUUCCUUCGGUAUUCUAUGGUUUAAAGUAUAUUAUUUCGGUACCCCCGUGAUUUUACUUUUCUUUUUCCAUCAGCACCUCCAACUUUCCAGUAAAUUAUAUACGAAAAACUUCGGAUACAAUAUCUAUAUGAUUUAUCGAAUAUUCACUCUAGUACCUUGUGGUUUAUCAAAUUUUCAUUUUAACAUUUGUGAUUUUAAUUUUGUCACUGAUUUAAUGAAAAAAUUAACGGAUAAGAUAACGGAAAAAGAAAAUGAAACCACAUGAUACUUAAGUGAUACAUUUUAAACCACGGGGUAUAAAAGUAAGAAAGCACGAAACCAUAGGAGUGGCAUUUGAAAUUUUUUUCAAUAGUUUUUGAAAACUAGUACAAAUGCCUGCGUGCAGUGAGCUCUCCAUACAGUAUAAAUUAAAUUCUUUAAAAUAAUUUUAUAUAACAAAUUUUAUUUGAUUUUAAUCAUGUAAUUUAUAUUUAAUACUAUAUAUAAAAGCACGUGUUUCUGAUUUGGGUCUCGCAACCGACCCACUUUUUGGCCAAAAUUUUUCAACAUAUGGAAAAAAAAAAAAUAGAUAUUGCAGAAGAAAAUAUAUACGAUAGAGUUCCGACCACGCAUAUAGGACAUUUUUCAACCACUAAAGUUGGAACCACAUUCAAUUUGGACGUAAUUCUAACAAUUGCAAUCGAAUCUGCUCAUACAGUUCUAACUGUAAUAGUUGAAUUUAGAUACAUUAAACUAAUAAACUGAAUUUAAAUCUGCAUAGAAUUAUAAUUGCAAUACAGUUGCAACUACAUGCAACCGAAUUACCUUUAUUAGUUACAUUUAUAAUUUUGCAAAUGGGCUGCGUGGGCGCGAAAUCUGCAUGAACUAAUUUGUUGAUGCGGUUUAUAUAUUGGGCUCGGACUUCAUAAAUAGAUGUAGAUCUUUCGUGUUAGAAACUAAUUUGUUGAUAGUGCUGUUAUUGGGCUUACUUACCAAUUAAUUGGGCCGGAACUAAUCUGGGCCUCUUAUAUCUUUCUUUCUUUUCUUUUUUUUUUGGUAUGCACUUAAAAUUUGACUUUAAUUUUAAUAUUGAAAAGAAAACAUGAGCUAAGUAAAUUUGGAGUAUUGUUCACAGAUUUUAAGUAAUGAUUUGGUCACGAAAAAUAGAUUGCAUAUAUUUGAUUAUUUAUUUCUGCGGAUUUCUAAUAUUGACUUCUCCUUAAUAGUUGGUUGUUCAACAAACAAAAAAAAGAAUAUAUAUAUAUUAUAUUAUAAUAUAUAUAUAUUAGUAUAUAUAUAUAUAUAGAUUCUAAAAAGUCCCCUUUUUUGCAUUUUCACUUAACACUUGAGUCCUUAAAACUAAUACAUAUAUCACACUUUCAUUUUCAAUAAUUUUAAAAUUAUUAAAUAUUAUUGCAAAUUUAGAUUAAAGUAAAAUUCUUUUAUUUAAUCGUAAAGGUCAGCUCUAUCUUCAUAUAUAUAUAUAUAUAUAUAUAUAUAUAUAUAUAUAUAUAUAUAUAUGGUGUAGAGAUACUACACGAUCGGAAGUAUAGAGAAUUUGAUAUUUUCGAUUUUUUAAUUUCUAGAUCAAGAAUUGUAUAGUUGGAAUAAUUGUGGUCCCCUAGAAUUGAGUACUUCUAGGGUUAAGUGAUUUUCACAGAGUAAUAGUAUUAAUUCAAAAGUUAAAAAUAAUUAAAAAAAAGUUGAUCUAAGGCCAAAAAAAGAAAAAAAAAAGAAAAAAGAGAAAAAAAGAGAGACCUUUUCGUAAUAAGAGGAUAGUAUAUAGGGACUAUUGUUAGAUUUGGUCCGAAGCGUGAAGGAGUGGACCGAGUGGCCCAUCAUCGUCGAUGCGAUCGAGGAGGAGUCGGGAAACGCGAGGGCACUCCGUCGUGUUCGUAAUCGUACCCUCGCUUCGUUCUCUCCGCCCCUUCAAAACCUAACGCUCACCCAACUCCCCCUCUAUAAGUAAUAUUCAAUUCCCCUCUCUCCCUCUCUCCUCCCCCCUUCCAAAUCCAAAUCCAUCCCUUUGCUCUCUCUCGAUCUCCAUCUCCGUCUCCACCUCGAUCGGCUUCGGCAAUGGCGGCGUCUCUCCAAAUGGCAGCGCUUCUUUCGGCUCCGUCCACUCCCAUCAACCCCGACAAGCUCCGUUUUGGAUCGAUCCCCGUAGGUAUUGUCCCGAUGCUCGUUGCUCUCGGGAUCUUCGUAGAAUUUGGAUCGUAGUGGGUAGAAAUCGAGUGGCAUCCCCUUUUUUUUGGGAGAUCCGAUCCCCUAGCUCUCACCAUCCUAUAAAUUUCAAUCUUUUCCUUAUUCUAGUUUUUGGUUCUCUUUACAGGAAGGAAAGUGAGCAAUUUGAUCGUUAGAUCGGAUGGGAGGAUGAUGACCGGUGGGUUUUCCCCUUCAGCUCGCGGCGGAAUCUUGAUUCCGAGUGCGGUCGCAGUUAAGUAUCCGAUCCCGAUUUGUAUUGGAUUAGUGAGCUUGAAAAAACCGGAUUAGUCCUGUGAAACCUACUGGUUUAAGAAUUUAGCGCUUAGAAAGCAAAUUGCUGGCCUUGUAUUUUGAAGGGGAGAUGUAUACGAAAUUAUAUUUACUUGAUGAAUUUAAGGGAUUGUUUUGUAUGUUUUUAUUCAUGUAUAAAUAGCGAUUCGUGUACUAAAUUUAGGAUUUUGAUGUGUUCAUGUAGGCAAAGUCUGAUGCUCCUGCAAGUUCUACAUCCUCAAAACCUGGGUAAGCUUCUUGCUAUGAAUAAUGGAUUCUUCAAACUUCUUAUGAUGAACGAGCCUUCUUCUUGCUUCUCUAGAUCAAGUCACUUUGAAGUACUAAUUUCAUGACUUGCAGACCAGGAAUUGGACACUUAAGUGUUUAGUAAUUAAGUGGUUAGAGCAGCAAACAUCUUCGUAUCGAUCAAAAUAUCAUCUUCGUAUAGAUCAAAUUAUCAAUUUGACUCAUAGGUGUCUGUGUGAGGAAAGCGAAGCAAGUGCCUUCCAGCUUGCAUUUAUAGCACUGAGAAUAGUUAGUUGAUUCCCAAAAUUUAAACAGUAGGUAACAUGCCUUUCCACUUUCAUUCAGUUCAUCCGAUAAUUGAGGCGCUUAAACCAUCUUUGCCUUUUUAGGCAUUUUAUUUCUAGAUAUUGUUAACACUUAACAUCAGAAAGAAUAUUAAUUACAUGUAGACGAUUUAGUCAUAUAAUAAAGUUACAUCAACCAGGAUAUAUUAAGAGGUUUAGUCACUGGUAAAACCGCUGUUUUUGAAGAAGAGAAUAAGUGCUAUAUAUUUCAUAGACUAUCACCUAUGUUUGAAAAGGACCUUUUUGUGUUCAAGUUCAUUCACCUUGGCCUAUGCUUCUUAGUUUCAUAAGCAAGGAUGCAACAAUUUCUUUUCUUUUUAUGGUGGGACUUGGCCUUUCCUAAGUUGAGUAUGUUCUUUUACAUGUUAACAUCCAGUGGUAGCUUAUGUCUAUUUAGGACUUUCCAGUAGAUUGCGCCUGGCUGAGUUGCUGUGCUUUCAAAUUUGAUGAAUUUAUGCGAAGAUUUGUGCUGAUGUUUGUUCACCUUUCGUCAUUUUGCUGUUAUUGUGAUACUUUUGUGAUUUAUGAUUAUGAUUUGUGACAGAGGUUAUAGGCAAUCUGCAAUAGAUGUUGAUUGCUAGAAAAAUGCAGAAUCAAAUUAAGUAAUAUGAGACUUAAAAUGCAAAAUCUUUGCCCAAAAAAUUAAUUAGUUGCGCCCCCUAUGGCUUUUUGCAUGAUGAUUUAGAAUUAGGUUUUUAGUGCCUAUGACUAUCAAUUACUCUCAAACAUUGAGGAAUCAGGGUUAUUCUUUUCCGCAUGUUAAUUUGUCAAUUAUCUCCCCUGCGUUCACUUGGUCAAAUUCCUCUUGCCAUUCUGCUAAUGUGGAAUACAACAAUAUACAGCAUAUUAUGUUUUGAACCUUGAUAUGCGUACCAGGAAGCUUUCUUGCAUUAGAGCUGUGUGAUGAGUUGUUUACUACUAUAAAAUCAGACCUUCCUCAACUGAGAAAAUAAAAGCACUAUCAUAGGCAGAACGAAGAUACAUGCAGGCGUGCUAGACCUAUUGCAUGUGCAAAGCAGAAUGUGCUUGCUUACAGUACACUUCUGCUAGAAGUUAAUCUAAGUAGGCACUUCUUUCCACAACUCAUCAUUUUAUGGGAGAUUCUUGCCUUCUUUCUUUCUUUCUUUCUUUCCAUUUGCUCUUGUGGUGGCAAAUUUUACCUGCUGCUUUUGGUGGUAAUUCUUAAUCAAGGGGUUUACUAUUCUUUCUUGCCGAUAUAAUAUCUUCUAUUGCAUCUGUCAUAAUUUAAAUCUUUCAACUCCGUUCUCAUCUUUCAACAUCUAGUCAUGAGCUGUUAUUAUUCGAGGCUCUUCGUGAGGGUCUGGAAGAGGAGAUGGACCGGGAUCCGCGUGUCUGCGUCAUGGGCGAGGAUGUCGGCCAUUAUGGUGGGUCCUACAAGGUCACUAAAGGCUUGGCCACAAAGUAUGGUGAUCUUCGUGUCCUUGACACUCCCAUUGCUGAGAACUCCUUUACUGGCAUGGGGAUUGGUGCUGCCAUGACCGGACUAAGGCCCAUCGUCGAGGGCAUGAACAUGGGCUUCCUUUUACUGGCUUUCAAUCAGAUAUCCAACAACUGCGGCAUGCUCCACUACACAUCCGGGGGCCAGUUCAAGAUACCAAUAGUAAUUCGUGGGCCGGGGGGUGUCGGCCGCCAGCUUGGGGCCGAGCACUCCCAGCGGCUUGAGUCAUACUUCCAGUCGAUCCCCGGCCUUCAAAUGGUCGCAUGCUCAACCCCUUACAAUGCGAAGGGGCUGAUGAAGGCCGCAAUACGGAGCGAAAACCCUGUAGUUCUUUUUGAGCAUGUUUUGUUAUACAAUCUCAAGGAGAGGAUUCCCGAUGAGGAAUAUAUCUGCUGUUUGGAGGAAGCCGAGAUGGUACGGCCCGGGGAACAUGUAACCAUCCUCACGUACUCACGCAUGCGGUACCAUGUGAUGCAGGCGGCGAAGACACUGGUGAAUAAGGGGUACGAUCCCGAGGUGAUUGAUAUUAGGUCAUUGAAGCCCUUUGAUUUAUACACUAUUGGGAAUUCUAUCAAGAAGACGCACCGCGUGCUGAUAGUGGAAGAGUGCAUGCGGACAGGCGGUAUUGGUGCGAGUCUGAGGGCAGCAAUUAUUGACAACUUCUGGGACUAUUUGGACGCUCCGAUCAUGUGCUUGUCGUCCCAGGAUGUGCCGACACCGUACGCCGGGACGUUGGAGGAGUGGACGGUGGUGCAGCCGCCGCAGAUUGUGGCCGCAGUUGAGCAGCUUUGCCAGUAGAAAAAGAAAACAAGAAGAUAUUUCCGUAGCUCUGGCUUAUUUUGUGUUGUUAAAUCUUUGGGACAAGUCUUUCCUAAUUGAAGGUUUUAUUCAUACGUAAGUAUGGUGCGGCAAAGCAGGAUAUUCAUUCUUGUUAGUAUUGUACUCGUGUACGGUUCUUUUAUUUUUGUAAUGUUUGUUGUGCUCCAAUAACCAUUUAAGUCCGUAGUGCUAAAUUUAAUUUUUUUGGUUGUAGUCGUUUCAAUUAUUAAUAUCUCAAAUUUUUUACUUCGAUGUGCGAUAUAAUAAUCUUGAAGAUUUGCGAGUUUUGUGGCAGGGGACUAAACUUGCAAGAUUAAUGGCUCUUGUACUUCAUAUGGUUUACCCACACACAUACCAAAUAUAAAUAUAAAGGAAUUAAUGAUCCAACUUAUAAUUUCUGUGUAUGAUUAAACGGGGAGAAUAAAAGGGAAUUUUCUCAUUCACCAAAAUAUAUUUACAGUUGCUAGCAACUUUCCAGGUUUAUUCCAUUUUAUUAUUAUAGCUCUAGAUAAGAAAUCAUUAACGCUAGUUCCAAUUAAGUUUUUUAGUUGUGAAGUCCUCUUCUUAGCCCGUAAACUUUUGACAGCAACAAAGGUUUGGCCAGAUUCCACUCUCAUCAUUCAAUAACCCGAACAUGUGACUCAAGUUAGGAUCUAUAUUAAAAUACUAUUAAAAAUUGAGCACAAAACAAUCACGCUGUACUGCAUAAAGAAAACUUUACCGCAUAAAGAAAACUCGCUACAUUUGCUUCUAUAUAGUUCAUUCGACUUGUCGAAGACAACUGUUAAAAUUUUACAUUAGUUCAAGCUUAACACAACAUCGAAAAUAUCAGCCUCGUAGUCAGAACAGAAUAAGAGCAAAACCUACAAUGCUGGUAAUUAGAACUACCAUCAACCAAACUUACUACAUAUAUCUUGCUUAACACUUUCCGAAAGCCUACUGAUACGGCGCGGCAAGAACCGAGAGAUCACGCAUACAGAACCUGCGUACUGGAUGGAGUCAGAUCCGCAAAGUCCUUCGGCACGUCAACUUCUUGCCACCGAAUCGAAAAGCUCUUCUUCUUCUUAGAGCUGCAAUCCGACGUCUCUACAUGCCCGACCACGACGUGCAGUCCCCGCCCGACUACAAAGAUCCGAGACCCAACACAGCUCACCGAGAAUGGCUUUCGGAUCCUCUCGGACAUCGGCGACCCCGCGACGGUCUCCCAUGAAUCGGAUUCGAAAUCAUACACCUUCACACGCAUCCGCUCAUACUCGGAUAUCACAAACAAAUGCCCAUCGACCACGGCACUCGACCCCGUCCACCCUUCACGCAUUCCUAUCGGCAUACCCUCCCAACAGUUAGUUUUUGGAUCGUAGACUUGCCCUCUCGGUGAAGACAAGAAGGGCCAGACGCAGCCUUCGGUUACAUAUAAUCGUCCAUUAAGUACAGCCGAGUCAGAUGAGGCCAUGAUGGUGCCCAUGUUUGCGAUCGGUUGCCAAUUACCCUUAACUGGGUCGAGAACCUCUGCCGAGUCGAGCUCAAACUGGUCGGUGCUGUACCCACCGGCGACAUACACUCGGCCGUCAAUGACACCGCGGGCAAAGAAGGACCGGGCGGCUAGCAUCCGGCUCAUGACGGUCCACCGGUUUUUAUAGAUCUCAUACUUCAGGACCAAAUGUAGAGGGCAGUCCAUGUCCGAGACGAGCCCGCCGCAAACCAGCAAGGUGCCGUCCGGAGGAACUGCGAUACAUCCAAAGCCGCGAGGGCACGCACGUUCGCGGCACGGCAUGGCCGGAAUAGUGUGCCAGGAGAAGUGAAUAAGAUCGAGCACCUGCCAUUGGAUUUUCCCGGUGCAUCUAUGGAAGGCUAAAGUGAAGAGCCACGGGUCGCGGAAGCCGAGGGCUUUACGCUGAGCGAAGAACCGUUCUUUGUUGGCCAAGAGGCGAUGCCACCGUCGGCAAACAAGGCGGCAGGCCUUGUGCGUGUCGACGGGGAGGCGGAGUAGACAAUUCAGUGCGACAUCAUCAGGGAGGCCCGGGAUGAGGGGGGUCAAAUCGAGAGACGAGUCCGGUUCGUAAGAAGAAGAUGCAGAUGAGGGAUAGGAAGGGGUGGCCGUGGCGAAUCGGAAUUUGGGAGUGAGCUUCAUUUGAGAAUCCCCAAGCUUGAGGACCGGGGACUGGUGGGACGAGACUCGAACACGUCGCAUGUUUUUGGAUCUAACAAAUCCGGAGAACAAAUAGAAGGACCCAAAUCCAACAAAAAUGCAAUCCUUUGUUAUCUACUCCUUUUGAGGACUGUUUCUAAGGGAAGGGGAAAAAUCUCACCUUUGAACAAAAAGUCCAAAUCUUUGUCAGAAACUAAUCCAAAAGUGUGGAUUUGGGAAACCCUUUUCCUGAUCCCAAAUCUCAAUCCUUUGUGACCUACUCUUUGUGAGGAUUUUGCUGUCAAGGGUGAACUAAAAGUUCAUAUCUUUGUGAGAAGCUAAUCCUAAGGUGUCGAUGUAAAAAGCACUUCUCCUCAUCCCAAACACACACAACUCCUUGUUAUCCUACUCUUUUUGAGAAUAGUUGUUAAGAGAUGAAGAAGAAAAGUCUCAGCUUUGAGCCAAAAGGCGAAAUCUUCGUGAGAAACUAAUCCAAAGGUCUGAUUUUGGAAAGCCCUAAAUUCAUCUCCCUAUGUUACUUUUCCAGAGGAGGAGCUCAAAACCCAGCAAAUUUUCCUUUUUUUCCCCCCCACCUCCUCUAUAAGCAAUAAGCAGAGAUCAUUACAGAACAUCUAACAGAAACAAAUAAGCUUGUAUUAACUUGCCAAAGCUCAAAAACAAGAUUAGAUUGGAAAGAACCCGCAAGUGCUUUUGAAUUCAAAAAGCUAAGAGAGGAAAGAAAUAAAGCUGCAACCAUGAAUCUUACAAGAUUAGGGGAGCUCUGUGGAGGAUUACAGAGGAAUUGAUUCUCUCCUCUCCUUUUCCUUCUUUUUUUUUUUUUUUUUUUUUUUAGCUCUUUGAUUUAGAAUUAAGGAGGUGGUAGGAUUUGAUUCAGCUUCAAAACCAGCAAAAGAAGUGGUGAAAGGGGGAAAGGAAAAGGAAAUUUUCCUCGCUUUUGGUCCCACAUUAGGAGCAAGUCCCUUUCUUUUUUGCUUUGAAUAAUAGGAGCAAAAUUAAAAUGUCUAGAUGGUACCUUAUCUGUUCUAAUAUUGAUAAUUAGCCCCUGAUGUUUCGAUUUUUACAAUUCAGUCCUUGUAAAUGGUAUUAACUAUUAAUGGGUAGAAUAAAUUAGAUUUUGUGAAAAGAUAAAAGAUCUAGCAUAUUUAUUAGUGUUUAUUUUUUAGAAGCCGGUAGUCAGCUAUCCGCUUUAUUUAUUAAAAAAAUAAAUUUAAUAGAGUUAAUAGAGAAGACCAGGAUUCAAAAUAGGAGGGAAAGAGAAAGAAAGAAUACAAAAAAAAAAAAAAAAAAAAAAAAAAAAAAAAGCAAAAGGGUCGAGACAUCACACUUAAUUUAUUAGACAACAUGCUGAGCUCAUUUUGCUAUAAUAUAUCUAUUUAUACAUACUAAGAUUGACUACAUUACUAAUAUUACCCUUCAAUCUUUCAACUUUUACAUAUAUUAUAUUUUAGUUCUGACCAUCAACAAAAUCUUGAAUAUUAUUAUAGAAUAAUAUUUUUAAUCUUUAUUUGCAAAGUAAUAUUAUAAUUUAUCUAAAAUAAAUUAAAAAUCAGUGAGUCAUUAUACAGUGUCAACCGUCAAGAGAAAUAACAUGAUUAUUUUAUUUUUUUUACCGUAAAGUUUAAGUUUAAUUUUUCUCCAACUUUAAUUUGAGAAUUGGGGUAAAAUCAAAACCAGAACGACUGAUUAGUAACAAGGGCUUAUCCAUAAAUCUUACCCCUUAAUUAAAUAAUAAUAAUAAUAAUAAUAUUACUAUUAUUAUUAAUAUUAAUAAUAACAAUAAUAGUAAUUGGAAAUAAGGAAAUGGGAAAGAACACUAGUAGGGCUAUGUAAAUGUUUCCAGUGGGACCCACAGUUGUUGUUUUUCCUCUGAUUUUUCGUUGACUAAUUAAAGAGUUUUUAAGAAUAAUUUUUAUUAUUUAAUAAAAUACGCAUAUGUCGAGUGUGGAAUUUUAAUUUUUUAAUUUUUAUUAUUUUUUUCAAUUAUUUUGGGGUGGUUGAUGAGUGGUUGGCCCGUCGAUAAAGGUGUUGUUGUGUGUAACCGUUACAUGCCACGGUUGUGACACUGAAUAGUUGGGCCCACGGUGCAAUUCUACGUAACAAGUUUAUAAAAAUUUUCACACGCGGAAUUAAUUUCGUCGCUCAUUAAUAUAGCAUGAUGAAUUUCCGCCACUAAAUUAACAAAUAAUUAUAUUAAUUUUCACAACUGUAACUAUUUUUUACACUGAAUUAAGUAUUAGUUUUGUUAAUAACAAAUGAUUGAUAGCUUGAAAAAGCAAUUAAUUCGAACAACAUCUCCAAUUCUGAAGAUAAUUUAAGUCAAAAUAAAUAAAAGCUUAGAGGUUUUACAUUAAAAAAAAAAGAAUUAAAGUUCAGGAGCCUAUUUCAAAAUUUUCUCUAGUUAAAGGGGAUCUCCAUAAAUUAUUCACUUAAGUAUCACCAAUUGGGCUAAGGUGGAGCUCUAGCUCAAGUGGUCAAGCCUUUUAUAAGCACUAAAAUUGAACUAAAUUUCUAGGCCUUUGUAUCAAAUGUUUGAGCCCAUUUUCAAAAUAAACCUGGUAUUAAUUGGAUCUAAUUAAUGGACCUUCAUAUAUACCAGCAUUUAACUAGGGUUUGUUUCAUUAGCAAAUAAAUUAAUAUUGUAGGUGUCAUGUUAUAUAUAUAUAGAAUUGAGCUCAUGUGCUUUUAAAAGUACUAAGUUAUUAGUACUUAUAGAUUUUUGGUCAUUGGAUUAAGACGUAAAUUUAACGGUAAAAAAUUUACAAGCACCAGGCCACCAAGUGCUUGGUGCUUUUAUAAGCACCAUAGCCGGACUCUCUUUAUAUAUAUAUAUAUAUAUAUAUAUAUAGUUCAGCUAUGGUGCUUGUAAAAGUAUCAAGCACUUCGUGCUUGUAAGUUUUUUACCGUUAGAUUUAUUCCACGGAUCAUUUUCAACCAUUACAUUAUACUAUUCAACCAACCACCUACUCAACCCUAGAGAGUCCACAUCAUCCUAACCGCAUAUCUCUUAAUCCAAUGACUAAAAAUUUACAAGCGCCAAUGUCUUGAUACUUUUAAAAGCAUAGGAGCUCAAUUAUUUAUAUAGUUGUUGAUUUAGUUGUAGAUUUAUAGCACNGGGGGGGGGGAAAUAAAUUUAGAACGGAUAUGAGAUCCCAUUCUGAGCUCAACUGCUACAUGCCAGGAAAGGAAAGGGAAAUUAUUUGGCUUACGAAAAUUAGGAUUUUAUUAAAUUUGUAGUUGGUUUUCUAGUUGAAUAAAAAUUAAUAUUUAAAUUUAUUGAAAAUAAAUUAAGAUUUAAAUAUUAAUUAAAGUAUAAAUCUAAUUAAAUUAGAAUAUAUAUUUAAAUUUAUUAGAGAUAAACUAAAUAUAGAUUUAAAUAUUAUUUGGAGUAGAAAUUUUAAUUAUCUUAGAAUUUCGGUACAUCUUGAGUCAAGCCUUAUAUAUAGUUCCAUAUACGCAAAUUGUUCAAUGAACUUACAUGAUGUACGGAUGAGAAAGAGUCUUUUAUGGUGCUAAUCGUACGGUGGAGAAGCCUAGGCCCAGCUGUGUGCAUGUGAGAGAAAAAAGAGUUGUCUUUUAGCUUUAUAGAAGAGAAAAAGAGAGUUGUCUUUUAGCUUUAUAAAAGUUUAUAGAAGAGGAGUCAGGUGCAAUAAUCUCUUAUUUAGUGAAUCUUAUUUUAUUCGCAUAUUUUUAAUUUUUAAUUUUUAUUUUUUUUGUAAUUGUAUGAGUUUUUGCUGAGAAGAUAAAUUAUGGUAAAAAUUUGAUUCGACGCUUUUGUUGCACAAUCUCAAUAUUCAGUAUCGAAUUAGCAACAGUCGGCAUCGAAGCUGGUGAUGAAUUCAUAAAAUUCGAUUACAAAACGAGUACCAAAUUGCCAACAAAACAGAAAUUAUAAACUCAUUGUGAUAUAUUUGCCAUGAAGAUAAUCAUGACAAAAGUGGUAGUGGUUAGCGAGCAUCUGGACAUAGAUGGGCUGAAGUGGCAGUGAUUGUGACAACUAAAGCAAUCAUCCCAAUGGAAAUUGAGUUUUUUCAUUUUGUUUUUGAAUUAAAUUGAUCCCUAUCUUUAGGGAGCUGUCCAGUUCAAAAUUUUAUAAUACUUCAGAAAUAUUAUAUGCUUAGAGUUAUUAUACUAUCGGAAGCAUAAACUAGUUAGUGCUUCCGAUUUUCUAGCCCUUGAUCAAACAUUCUACGGUUGAGAUGAUAGCGGUACUCUUAAGGUUGAGUGGUGUUUUUAGAAUUGAGUGGUCCCCAUUGGUUAAUAAUAUUAAUCCAAUGGUUAGAAAUGAUCAAUGGGGUUGAUCUAAGGGUUAAAAAAUCGAAAGCAUCAACUACUUUAUGCUUUCGAUAGCAUAGUAACUCUACUCAUAUUAUAUAUUUUAUAUUUAAAAUAAUAAGUUUGUUACUAACUUAUUAGAUAGACCACUUAGUUUAGAAAAUUGUUAAAAAUUAAGUUUUAUAUUCUUAUUAAUGAAUUACUGAUGAUUUUCAUUAAAUAUGAAAAUAAAAAUACCUUAUAACUCAUGAUAAUCUAAUAUUAAAUCCUACCACCUGAAAAUCUGUAAUAAUCUUAUUACUUCACUAACACCUUUUACAAACCAUCCGGCCAGCUUGAGUCGAGUAACAACGAGUUGAAUAUUUUCAACAAAACGUAUGGGGAUUUAUCGAAAUGUUACAAAUUAACCAUGAAUCAAACGGGCCCUUGAGAUAAUAAUAGUAACAAUCGAUAGCAUCGAUGAUUCUUGAAAACAAAGGCAGAAUUAUAUAUAACUGCGUAGACAAUCAAUAAUAAAAUCAGAAUUUAAACUAUUUUAUUGCAUGAAUAAUCAAAUAUGCUUUCACAGUAUUAACUCUAUUUAACAGGUGUGUCCCCAACCUAAAAAGAAGGUUAUUGAUGGAUGUCACAGGGGAAUCAAUAAUAUCCUAUAUAUCCAACCACUAACUAAAGCCAAAUCUACUCAAGCUCAAUUAUAUAGAUCCCUCGAGUAAAAAACUGCAACUAAUCAAAACCUCACUCAUUUUAGGCCAAAAAGGCGCAUAAUCAUGAGCUCAAAGUAUAUAUAUAUAUAUCCUGCUCUUUGGUCUUGUGAAGGACAAUAACUUGAACGUAAAGAUCUCCAAAAGAGCUGCAUAAUUAAAGAAAAUAUAUGAUGGUGUCGAAAAAGCUUAAAGAAGGUGAAGUACUUUACACACCAAAAAAAGUUUUUUUUUUUUUUUUUAAUCCUUUUCCCACUGCUUUGUUUUAUUCCACUUAAUUUUAGGUGAAUGGUAAAGCUGUGUAUAUGUUGGUUAGU